ensembl:lncRNA
GGUGGAGCCUACGCGGCCGCCCCGCCUCCCAGGCACGGGCUGGGGUCUGAAGGAGCGCGGCUCCCGGGCAGCAGGCAGUGGAAUUCCUGGGUCCGCUCCGGCCCGCGUUUACCUACCCUAUUCUGGGAUUUGGCCUUGCCCCUGAGUCGGCGGCAGAGGUCCCGGCGACCGGCCCCAUGGCGCACAGUGGGUUGUCAGUGAAAGUCUGAGCGGACCGGCCGCGCCUCCGAGCCCGGGGUCUUUGAGCGCGGACCCCGACGCGGUCUUCGCCCUGCGUGGAGGCAGGCGAGUGGGCGCCCGCGGGAGGCACCUCACCGAGGCUGCCCCCUGACCUUAGUGGCCCGCACCCUGAGGCCGCAGGCCCUGCUUCCCGUCCUUGCUUCAGGCGAGGAGACCCUUGGUUCUGUGCCGCGUCGCUGUUGGCAUAGAUCGCAGGGCAGAAACACACCUGGGUGACUAACUCAUCCAGCAUGUCUGACUCCUUCCCUUGAAACGUGGCUCACCCUGGACCCCUCCUCCAUCCCUCCCAGGGCAAGCCCUCAGCGUGUCACCCGGACCUUGUCAGUCCUCAGUAUCUCCUCGCGGUCAAUUGGGAGCCCACUAAAACAGAAGAGCACGCCUGCUUGCUUCAGUGGCUUCAACAUUCUGUUCACCCAGGGUACUGGUUCUGUGCUCAGCAGCUGAACACACACAGGAGCCAAGAUGCCAAGACUCCAAGCCAGUCUGGAGUAGGAGACAAGUGAACAGAUGAUCACAGCGCGGCUAUGAGGCCCUGGAAGCGGGGCGAUGCUGGGGUGGAGCGCAAGAACCCACAUUUCUAACAAGUUUCUGAAGAGGUGGAUGCUUCCAGCCAGGAACCCCACUUGAGAAC